AUCAGGCCCCACCCACCACUGUCCCCAGGCCACCCCUGGUCGUGUGCUUGGCCGGUACAGGGGUGGGGAGAUGCCUGAGCCACCUCGGGUAGCUUGGGGGGGGGGUCCCAGGAAUGAGAGCGCUAACGGAAUCCGCGCUCUGCGGGCGUUAUGUUUUCUAUAUAGCCUGGUCCUGGCGGCCGGGUGUUAUGUUUUAUAUACAGCCUGGUCCUGGCGGGGCUGCGUUCCCAGAACGGGGCCGUGGCAGCUGCUCCGUGCGCUCUCUUCAGGCCCCUCGGGGUUGCGCUGUGCCUCUUCUCUGCCGGUGCCACUGUUGGCCCGGCCUUGUGCUGUGUCGGUUCGUGAUGCCCUCGUGAUGUCGCCUUGCCGACCGGCCCUGUUGCCCUCCAGCCCUGCCCCCUGCCUCCGGCGGCUUCAGCCGUUCCCCGAAGUGCUGCUCUCACUUCUGCUCUUGCUCUGCUCUCUUCUGGCGAACCUGUGGCACCUUCACGCGCGCGCCUUUCACCACCUGUGGUGGCGGCUCAGGUUGUUUCUCCAGAACGUGGAAUAAUGGCAGAAACAAAGUCUGUGGUUGAAGAAACACACAAAUUGGCAAUCACCAUUCAAACAGAGGAAAACGCCUUAUGCUCUGCUGGUGCUAUUGUGAGGCUGCCGGGCCCUGCGGAAGCUGAACUUCCUGCGCUAUUUAUGCUGUCCUGGAGUGAGUGAGUGAGUGAGUGAGUGAGUGUGUGUGUGUGGGUAUGUGUGUGUAGGGGUAUGGGUGGGGGGGUGUGUGUGUAGGGGUGUGUGUGGGGGGUGUGUGUGUGUGUAGGGGUGUGUGUGUAGGAGUGUGUGUGUGUAGG